AACGAACGCUGGCGGCAUGCCUAACACAUGCAAGUCGAACGAGACCUUCGGGUCUAGUGGCGCACGGGUGCGUAACGCGUGGGAAUCUGCCCUUGGGUUCGGAAUAACAGUUAGAAAUGACUGCUAAUACCGGAUGAUGUCUUCGAACCAAAGAUUUAUCGCCCAGGGAUGAGCCCGCGUAGGAUUAGCUAGUUGGUGGGGUAAAGGCCUACCAAGGCGACGAUCCUUAGCUGGUCUGAGAGGAUGAUCAGCCACACUGGGACUGAGACACGGCCCAGACUCCUACGGGAGGCAGCAGUGGGGAAUAUUGGACAAUGGGCGAAAGCCUGAUCCAGCAAUGCCGCGUGAGUGAUGAAGGCCUUAGGGUUGUAAAGCUCUUUUACCCGGGAUGAUAAUGACAGUACCGGGAGAAUAAGCCCCCGGCUAACUCCGUGCCAGCAGCCGCGGU
rnacentral:rRNA from 1 species